rnacentral:rRNA from 1 species
GACGAACGCUGGCGGCGUGCUUAACACAUGCAAGUCGAACGGAAAGGCCCUGCUUUUGUGGGGUGCUCGAGUGGCGAACGGGUGAGUAACACGUGAGUAACCUGCCCUUGACUUUGGGAUAACUUCAGGAAACUGGGGCUAAUACCGGAUAGGAGCUCCUGCUGCAUGGUGGGGGUUGGAAAGUUUCGGCGGUUGGGGAUGGACUCGCGGCUUAUCAGCUUGUUGGUGGGGUAGUGGCUUACCAAGGCUUUGACGGGUAGCCGGCCUGAGAGGGUGACCGGCCACAUUGGGACUGAGGGACGGCCCAGACGCCUACGGGAGGCAGCAGUGGGGAAUAUUGCACAAUGGGCGGGAGCCUGAUGCAGCAACGCCGCGUGCGGGAUGACGGCCUUCGGGGUGUAAACCGCUUUCGCCUGUGACGAAGCGGGAGUGACGGUAAUGGGUAAAGAAGCACCGGCUAACUACGUG